GUAAAAACACACCAACAGGAAAAACAGGCAUUUUGUACUGGGUAAAUGGUCAGUCAUUAGACCUCAGUGGGGCACUCUAAGUGAACUGUUUUUAAUUCUGCACCAUUCACAUGAAACAUGAGCCUCCACUCUGCAGGUGCGUGGGCUUGUUAAGUCAACAGCUUUACUUGGACUUCUGUAGUGUUUACCCUUGUAACAAAAUUGUUAGUGAUCUGGGAAUGAAAUGCCUUCUUUCUAAUUGUGCAGUGGAAGAUAAAAACACAAGCUGAAGGGACUUCAGUGGGUGGGACCCACUGCUCUCCUAGGGAUGGCCUGUUUGAGUCUUUAUAGUAUGUCUCCCUUUGCAAUGGGCCUGAGCCACACUUUCCUCCUAGGGGAUGGACUAUCUGGGCUCUCGGCAAUAUGUUCACCGGGACUUAGCAGCAAGAAAUGUCCUUGUUGAGAGUGAACACCAAGUGAAGAUCGGAGACUUUGGUUUAACCAAAGCAAUUGAGACCGAUAAGGAGUACUACACAGUCAAGGAUGACCGGGACAGCCCAGUGUUUUGGUAUGUAAACCAUCUCAUCAGUGCUUUGACGCUUAGCUUUGUCUUGAAGGCCCUUGAAGCUGUGCUUGGGUGCCUCUCAGCUGCUCUGCUGACAGUUGAGAUUUAGCACCAGCUUUUGAAGAUGGGAGAGCUCUGGCCAUCAUCAGUUCGGCCUCUGUAGUCUCAUGUGAGCAGGCAGCAUCCGCCACAGUUCUCAGAGCUGUGAGCAGGUGGAAGAGGCUGGCUCUUAAUGCAUCCAUGUAGAAGGCCUGGAGCAAUGACAGGGCCACAGGGUGCGCAUUGGCCAAUCAUGGAGAACCUGCAAGAGGGA
rnacentral:lncRNA from 1 species